GACGAACGCUGGCGGCGUGCUUAACACAUGCAAGUCGAGCGGUAAGGCCCUUUCGGGGGUACACGAGCGGCGAACGGGUGAGUAACACGUGGGUGACCUGCCCUUAGCUCUGGGAUAAGCCUGGGAAACUGGGUCUAAUACCGGAUAUGACUCCAUGACGCAUGUUGUGGGGUGGAAAGCCUUGUGCGGCUAGGGAUGGGCCCGCGGCCUAUCAGCUUGUUGGUGGGGUGAUGGCCUACCAAGGCGACGACGGUAGCCGCCUGAGAGGGCGACCGGCCACACUGGGACUGAGACACGGCCCAGACUCCUACGGGAGGCAGCAGU
rnacentral:rRNA from 1 species